GAGUGUAUAGCUCAAUGGUUAGAGUACAUGCUUAGCAUGCACAAGGUCCUGGGUUCAAUCCCCAGGACCUCCA
rfam:Camelus ferus unplaced genomic scaffold scaffold51476, whole genome shotgun sequence.